GCUACGGGUGGCAGCAGUGAGGAAUAUUGGUCAAUGGCCGGAAGGCUGAACCAGCCAAGCCGCGUGAAGGACGAAGGUGCCAAGCAUUGUAAACUUCUUUUGUCAAGGGACAAAAUCAGGCUCGAGAGCCUGACCGAGGGUACUUGAAGAAAAAGCAUCGGCUAACUCCGUGCCAGCAGACGCGGUAAUACGGAGGAUGCGAGCGUUAUCCGGAUGUAUUGGGUUGAAAGGGUGCGUAGGCGGGCUGUUAAGUCAGAGGUAAAAGCCCGGGGCUCCACCCCGGCUAGCCGUUGAAACUGGCUGUCUUGAGAUGUCGAGGGGUAUGCGGAAUGCGCAGUGUAGAUGUGAAAUGCUUAGAUAUUGCGCAGAACUCCGAUUGCGAAGGCAGCAUACCGGCGGCGAGCUGACGCUGAGGCACGAAAGCGUGGGUAUCGAACAGGAUUAGAUACCCUAGUAGUC
rnacentral:rRNA from 1 species